rnacentral:sRNA from 1 species
ACAGCUGCAACCGCUCGGAACGAGUUUAAGUUUUCCGCUUGCGGAGCACUUGUCUUCGGCGAGUCUAAGUCUAAA